UACGUAGGUGGCAAGCGUUAUCCGGAUUUAUUGGGCGUAAAGGGAACGCAGGCGGUCUUUUAAGUCUGAUGUGAAAGCCUUCGGCUUAACCGGAGUAGUGCAUUGGAAACUGGGAGACUUGAGUGCAGAAGAGGAGAGUGGAACUCCAUGUGUAGCGGUGAAAUGCGUAGAUAUAUGGAAGAACACCAGUGGCGAAAGCGGCUCUCUGGUCUGUAACUGAUGCUGAGGUUCGAAAGCGUGGGUAGCAAACAGG
rnacentral:rRNA from 1 species